rnacentral:rRNA from 1 species
AAUGGUUCCGGUGCUGGGGUAGUAUUGGUCUCCCCCCGAGGAGAUAAGCUCAGAUACGUCCUCCAGAUUCACUUCGAUUCCUCCAACAAUGAAGCAGAAUAUGAAGCACUCUUGUACGGGUUGCGCAUGGCCAUUUCACUCGGCAUCCGGUGCCUCAUGGUCUACGGUGGCUCAGAUUUGGUGGUCAAUCAGGUGAUGAAGGAGUGGGACGUCAGAAGCCCAGCUAUGACUGGCUAUUGCAACGCAGUAAGAAAGCUAGAAAAGAAAUUCGAGGGGUUAGAGCUUCAUCACAUCCCCCGACUGAAAAAUCAAGCAGCAGAUGAUCUGGCAAAGAUAGGCUCCAAGAGAGAAGCCAUCCCCAGCAAUGUGUUUUUGGAGCACAUCCGCUCGCCGUCA